UACGUAGGGACCAAGCGUUGUUCGGAUUUACUGGGCGUAAAGGGAGCGUAGGCGGCGCGUCAAGUCAGUUGUGAAAUCUUAAGGCUUAACCUUAAGCGGUCAACUGAUACUGUCGUGCUAGAGUGCAGAAGGGGCAAUCGGAAUUCUUGGUGUAGCGGUGAAAUGCGUAGAUAUCAAGAGGAACACCUGAGGUGAAGACGGGUUGCUGGGCUGACACUGACGCUGAGGCUCGAAAGCUAGGGGAGCAAACGGGAUUAGAAACCCGAGUAGUCC
rnacentral:rRNA from 1 species